rnacentral:rRNA from 1 species
UGAGGAAUUUUGCGCAAUGGGGGCAACCCUGACGCAGCAACGCCGCGUGAGUGAUGAAGGCUUUCGGGUCGUAAAGCUCUGUCAAGUGGGAAGAACCUAAUCAUGGGUAAUAUACAUGGUUACUGACGGUACCACUGAAGGAAGCACCGGCUAACUCCGUGCCAGCAGCCGCGGUAAUACGGGGGGUGCAAGCGUUAUUCGGAUUUACUGGGCGUAAAGCGCGCGCAGGCGGUUUUGUAAGUCGGAUGUGAAAGCCCCGGGCUUAACCUGGGAAGUGCAUCCGAUACUGCAAGGCUUGAGUAUGGGAGAGGGAAGUGGAAUUCCUGGUGUAGAGGUGAAAUUCGUAGAUAUCAGGAGGAACAUCGGUGGCGAAGGCGACUUCCUGGACCAAUACUGACGCUGAGGCGCGAAGGCGUGGGGAGCAAACAGG